GGGUCAGUAGGUUGGUCGUGCCACCGGUACGUACUGGUCUCACUGAUUCCUCCUUCCUGAAGAACCGUAGUGCCAUUAAUUUGGUGUUGCGGGGAAACAGGACUGUUACUUUGAAAAAAUUAGAGUGUUUAAAGCAAGCUAACGCUUGAAUACAUUAGCAUGGAAUAAUGAAAUAGGACGAUCGAUCCUAUUUUGCUGGUUUCUAGGAUUGACGUA
rnacentral:rRNA from 1 species